UUUAUUGGAGAGUUUGAUCCUGGCUCAGGACGAACGCUGGCGGCGUGCCUAAUACAUGCAAGUCGAGCGGAUCUUUGGGAGCUUGCUCCCAAAGAUUAGCGGCGGACGGGUGAGUAACACGUGGGCAACCUGCCUAUGAGACUGGGAUAACUCCGGGAAACCGGGG
rnacentral:rRNA from 1 species